GACGAACGCUGGCGGCGUGCUUAACACAUGCAAGUCGAACGGUAAGGCCCUUCGGGGUACACGAGUGGCGAACGGGUGAGUAACACGUGGGUGAUCUGCCCUGCACUUCGGGAUAAGCCUGGGAAACUGGGUCUAAUACCGGAUAGGACUCCUGGCUUCAUGGUUGGGGGUGGAAAGCUUUUGCGGUGUGGGAUGGGCCCGCGGCCUAUCAGCUUGUUGGUGGGGUAAUGGCCUACCAAGGCGACGACGGGUAGCCGGCCUGAGAGGGUGACCGGUCAAACGGAGACUGAGAGACGGCUCAGACUCCGACGGGAGGCAGCAGUGGGGAAUAUUGCACAAUGGGCACAAGCCUGAUGCAGCGACGCCGCGUGAGGGAUGACGGCCUUCGGGUUGUAAACCUCUUUCAGCACCGACGAAGCGCAAGUGACGGUAGGUGCAGAAGAAGGACCGGCCAACUACGUGCCAGCAGCCGCCGCGG
rnacentral:rRNA from 1 species